rnacentral:rRNA from 1 species
UACAGAGGGGGCAAGCGUUGUUCGGAAUUACUGGGCGUAAAGGGCGCGUAGGUGGCCUUCUAAGUCAGACGUGAAAUCCCCGGGCUCAACCCGGGAACUGCGUCUGAGACUGGAAGGCUCGAAUCCGGGAGAGGGAUGCGGAAUUCCAGGUGUAGCGGUGAAAUGCGUAGAUAUCUGGAGGAACACCGGUGGCGAAGGCGGCAUCCUGGACCGGCAUUGACGCUGAGGCGCGAAAGCCAGGGGAGCAAACGGG